rnacentral:rRNA from 1 species
UACGUAGGGUCCGAGCGUUGUCCGGAAUUAUUGGGCGUAAAGGGCUCGUAGGCGGUUUGUCGCGUCGGGAGUGAAAACUCAGGGCUCAACCCUGAGCGUGCUUCCGAUACGGGCAGACUAGAGGUAUGCAGGGGAGAACGGAAUUCCUGGUGUAGCGGUGAAAUGCGCAGAUAUCAGGAGGAACACCGGUGGCGAAGGCGGGUCUCUGGGCAGUAACUGACGCUGAGGAGCGAAAGCGUGGGGAGCAAACAGG